AAGUCGUAACAAGGUUUCCGUAGGUGAACCUGCGGAAGGAUCAUUAACACUUAUUAUUAUCCAAUAUCAAAAAUAAAACCAAACGGCAUCUUUUCUUCUCCCUAUUUCGACUACCGGAGACGGGUCGAUUAGGCUAACCUUUUUUUUAAAUUAUAACCCCAUUUAAUUUAUGUCUCUAUUUAUUUAUAGAUAUAAACAAAACCAACUCUUCUUUUGUUCAAGUGUGGUUUUACAUCACACAAACAACAAUAAGAACUAAACUAAAAUAUACAUUUGAUUAUAUUUUUAUUUUACGAAAUAAUAUAUAUUUAUAAGAACAACUCUUAGCAAUGGAUAUCUUGGUUCUC
rnacentral:misc_RNA from 1 species